rnacentral:rRNA from 1 species
AGUCUGGUGCCAGCAGCCGCGGUAAUUCCAGCUCCGCAAGUGUAUAUCUAUGUUGCUGCGGUUAAAAAGCUCGUAGUUGGAUCUGCGUGUUUAGCGUCCGGUUCAACUUUUCGGUUGCUACUGGAACGCGACACAGAUGUGCUGGUUUGCCAUUGAUGCUCUUAACCGGGUGUCAGCGGCGGCUAGCGAGUUUACUUUGAAAAAAUUAGAGUGCUCAAAACAGGCGUUUCGCCUGAAUAUUUCUGCAUGGAAUAAUAAAAUAGGACUCCGAUUCUAUUCUGUUGGUUUUCGGAAUGCGAGGUAAUGAUUAAGAGGGACAGACGGGGGCAUUCGUACUGCGACGUUAGAGGUGAAAUUCUUGGAUCGUCGCAAGACGUACUACUGCGAAGGCAUUUGCCAAGAAUGUUUUCAUUAAUCAAGAACGAAAGUUAUGGGUUCGAAGGCGAUCAGAUACCGCCCUAGUCAUAACCGUAAACGAUUCAAACUGGGCGCCCGUCGGUGUUUUUAUUGACCCGACGGGAACCCUCCCGGAAACGAAAGUGUUCGUGUUCCGGGGGAAAUAUGUCUGCAAAGAGGAAACUUAAAGGAAUUGACGGAAGGGCACCACCAGGGGUGGAGCCUGCGGCUUAAUUUGACCCAACACGGGGAAACUCACCCGGCCCGGACACCGUAAGGAUUGACAGAUUGAGAGCUCUUUCUUGAUUCGGUGGGUGGUGGUGCAUGGCCGUUCUUAGUUGGUGGAGUGAUUUGUCUGGUUUAUUCCGAUAACGAACGAGACUCUGGCCUGCUAACUAGUGUUCACAUCUUUACGUGUGCUUCGCUUCUUAGAGGGACAGGCGGCUUCCAGCCGCAUGAAAAAGAGCAAUAACAGGUCUGUGAUGCCCUUAGAUGUCCGGGGCUGCACGCGCGCUACACUGAAAGAAUCAGCGUGUACGUUACCUGGCUCGAAAGAGUCGGGUAAUCCGGUGAAAAUCUUUCGUGAUUGGGAUCGGGACUUGCAAUUAUUUCCCUUGAACGAGGAAUCCCUAGUAAGUGCGGGUCAUCAGCUCGCGCUGAUUACGUCCCUGCCCUUUGUACACACCGCCCGUCGCUGCCCGGAACUGAGCCGUCUCGAGAAUAAUGGGGACUGUCUGCUUGAGGUCUUCACGGACUUUUUGCAAAUGGAAACCGC